CACGACGUACAUCGACAAACAGCACCAACGUCUUUGACCAUAAAAUCGCUCCUCCUUGUUUCUCAGUCUUUCUCCGUGAUCAAAGGCGUUUCAAUCUCUGCAAGAAGGAAGAGAGCAUUGGAAGAACAUAAUGGUAAAAGCAUAUACACAAGAGCAUGUCUACAAGCACCCGUGGGAGCGGGUGACAUCUGCAUCUUGGCGAAAGUUUACUGAUCCUGAGAACAAGCGCAUAUUGUCUCAUAUUGUUGAAGUUGACACUCUGAACCGCAAGCUUGACCCUGCGUCUGGGAAGCUUUAUACCACUCGUGCUAUCACUGUCCAUGCUCCAGGGCCAUGGUUCAUUCGCAAAAUCAUUGGGCAGGAUAUUUGCCAUUGUGUUGAAUCGACCAUUGUUGACGCUCAAUCACGAUCUAUGCAACUCACCACCCGCAACACCAGUCUCCAGAAGUUUGUGGAAGUGGAGGAGAAGAUCAGAUAUGAACCCCACCCAGAUAAUCCAAAUGGGUGGACAAUUUGCCAACAGGAGACUAGUAUUCGGAUAAAGCCAUUGUCAGCACUAGCAUCAAUGGCAGAGAAGGUGGAGCAACGAUGCGCUGAGAAGUUCUUGCAGAAUAGCGUCAAGGGUAGAGAAGUUAUGGAAAGGAUCUAAGUAGGCAUUGGUGGUGCAGUUCGAUUCUAAAGGAUACCUAUAACUGGGCAUACAUCAGGUAUCUGACCCUGACCAAGUUUACCUCUACUAGAUAUUUCAACAUUGAACAUUCUAUGUUAUAAUAGAGAUUUAAGUGCAAAAUUUUGAUGGAAGCAGAUAUAGUUAACUUUCUUUGUGAUGAAGCAUUAAGUGGCUCAUUGUUCUUGAAAGCUAUGCUUAGGAUGGUUCUAUGCCGAGGGCCUUGGACGCCUCCAUGGAUGAAGAUACACCAAAAACAAAGAGAAGACACCCCAAUAGCUUGGUGGUUUGAUCCUCUAUGAAGCAUCAGUUAAAAAUAGUGGCUGUACUGCAAAGCAGGCCUGUAACACAGAGGUCCCUAUUGUGGGAAAAGUGGUGAAAAAUGGGUUAGCCAAAUUCACAACCAUAUAUUGCUUUCUUUAUGCUCUAUGUAGCAAUACUCUGAUCAGUUAUGCAAACUUUGAGUUUAAGUUA